UACAGAGGGUGCGAGCGUUAAUCGGAAUUACUGGGCGUAAAGCGCACGUAGUCGGCUUUGCAAGUCGGGUGUGAAAUCCCCGGGCUCAACCUGGGAACUGCAUCCGAGACUGCAUUGCUAGAGUAUGGGAGAGGGAAGCGGAAUUUCUGGUGUAGCAGUGAAAUGCGUAGAUAUCAGAAGGAACAUCAGUGGCGAAGGCGGCGACCUGGGUAGAUACUGACGCUGAGGCGCGAAAGCGUGGGGAGCAAACAGG
rnacentral:rRNA from 1 species